CGUCUCUGCGCACUUGUUUGAUUUUCUAGUUACAGCGCUUGUGUGAAGCCGUUGCGAUGGGCCCGUUUAGGAGCUCGCUGUGUUGAAAUGGAUUUAAAAAAGGAAAUGAUCCAGGAAUGCCUGAAUUGUCACUGCUCAGUCUCCUUUGGCAGUGAAGAUAUUCAGCCUCAGCAGGAUUCU